rnacentral:lncRNA from 1 species
UGAAAAAUUUCAGAAACUUAAUGGGCCUUGGGGCUUUGCUAAAGGGUCUCUUGUUGCUGGAACCAAUCUCUAGAGAAUCUAUAUCUCAAUUGAUCCUUGUUUUUUCACUUUCUUUUGCCAAGGUUCAAUUUCAAUAGGUCCUCCAAAUCUUGUAACACCUAAACUUUUCAUCUAAUGAUAUUUACUUGCUUAAAAAAAAAAAAAAAAAAAAGUCGAACUAAUGAAUAAAGUUUCUGUGUAGCCCAGUGGGCUCAUUAGAUUCGUAUUUAACAAAAAAAAAAGAAAAGAAAAAGAAAAAAAAGAGUCGAACUAAUGAAUAAAGUUUCUGUGUAGCCCAGUGGGCUCAUUAUAAUGCUAUUAGAUUUUGCAUGGCCUGGUG